CAAGUCCUUCUUCACAACAACAGCGCCGCGAUCUUAUCUCGCACUACGCAACGACCGUGAACGACCGAUGGCUUAAUCGACCACUUAUUCAAUCGACACAAUGCUAUGAGAGAUUCUGCAUGACGCCUCACGGCGCGCCUUGAAGGAGUUUCGGUUGGGGGGUUGUGGGUGGUCUGUCCAUCACGGACUAGUACCAUCACAGUCGGGGAAGUCGGUCGGUCGGAUGGAUCGGAUUGGGUCUGAUGGAGCGUGUGAGGAAGCACAGAUGAUGAACGAUUAAGGAUCGAAAUCGGCACUUGCUUACCGCUCGUUGGCUUGGCCUGCUCGCGAGAGCUCGCUCAGCUUAGCGGGCACGGUCGUUAUUGAAUCUGCCUUUUCCUCCCUCUUCUCAUCUUCCUCUGCUUGCUUCCUCAUCCUGUCCUCCUACAGGUACCCAACCCAACCCGUCACGAGCCGGCUCUCCCCUUAGCAAAGAUUGCAAGUGGUACGUUUCUACUUUUCCUCCCUGUCCUCCCUUUCCAGGUCCUCAUCAUAUCCAUCCAACCCCCCUCCGUAUAUCAUGAUGAUUUUCGCAGCUCGCGCUGCAACCCUCCAUAUUUGUAAUAGGAAGAGCCGUAUGAACCUCCUCGGGUUAUUCCUUCCUCAACAAGGUGGGGACCCCUUGGCUGGCCCGCUAUCUAAAAAGCUUGUCCCAGAAAGCCACUUCUCUUCGGGGAAAACGCCUGCAUCGUCAUAUGCUGGCGGGUAUCUGGAGGAUGGGGGGUAGUGUGGCUGGUGAGGUUGGUGGUGCUUAUAAACUGGGUUUCUGAAAUAUACGAACACAUCACAAAUAUUUGACAGAUUGUCGAGUUGUUAUUUUUUGCAACAGUUGGGCGGUGGUAGAUGGUAUAGAGUGAUAUCAUACGAUAAGCUCUGGAAGUUGCUGGGCUUUGGCGCCCCGACACCUCGAUAGUUCUUGUGGCAGACUUCGCUAUGAACAGGUGGUUGGAAUAAAAUAACAUUAUUGAUACAAUACAACCACUUUUUUAC